rnacentral:tRNA from 1 species
UCCCUGUUGUCUCAGCAGUAAAGAAUCUGCGUGCCAAUGCAGGAGACCCAGGUUCGAUCCCUGGAUUGUGAA